rnacentral:rRNA from 1 species
CGCGUAGGUGGUUCGUUAAGUUGGAUGUGAAAUCCCCGGGCUCAACCUGGGAACUGCAUUCAAAACUGUCGAGCUAGAGUAUGGUAGAGGGUGGUGGAAUUUCCUGUGUAGCGGUGAAAUGCGUAGAUAUAGGAAGGAACACCAGUGGCGAAGGCGACCACCUGGACUGAUACUGACACUGAGGUGCGAAAGCGUGGGGAGCAAACA